rnacentral:lncRNA from 1 species
UAUAAUAUAUACUUUUUAAAAAACAAAAAAUGUAAAAAUUAUGAUAUCAAAUUUUGGGUGCUUACCGCUAUUAAAAUUUUGACUCUUUUAAAAAAGAGAAAAUCGAACGAUCUAAACGAUGUUACAGGUGCGAAUACUUUUCUCUCUUUGCUCUAGAGCUAACACAAUGGACCGAAGAAAGAGGUCUCAUGGUCUAAUUUUCUCUCGCUAAAACCAGUCUUAAAGAGGGACCCGCACCCCUACUUGAAAUAAUCAUACCUCGUUACCAUAGUCACCGCCACCCCUCCAGACGAAUGUCUGUCAGAGUACCUAUCGUAGACAAACAGUAGUUCAGCAAGGGGCGCCGAACCACUGGCUCUGAACACCUAGGCCAAGAGUAGUGUCCAAUAUAGUACUACACCAGAGGAGUGUGGAUCCUCCAAAACAAUCAGAACUCAGGAUCAUUACCUUGAUACAGAGCUAAUCCCGAGCAACUUGUUCGAUCAGAGUGAUAGAGGGGGAUCUAUCGCUCAUCUACACGGCCCAAAGAGCACGCGACCAACAGACACCGCGAAAUAAGCCCGCCACACUUGUGUAAGAAUGCAAACUGGUAACUCCAUGAUGAAACGCGGCACACUGCAAAUAUGCUGUUCAGCAAUAGCUAACGUUGUUAGUCUGUUCGAUUCAGAGAAAAAAAAAUUUUUUAAAUAAAGAUGUGCAGCAAAGUAACAAAUCCUAAAAACCCGACAAAGGAAAAAAAAUUAAACAGAAAUCUGAAAUGUGUAAAUUAUAAUCGGUGUUUAAAAGGAAACGAGUCGACAUUCGCACACUAGAUUAAAAUAUUAAUUUGGUUUCAGGUGUAAAACUUAAAACAGGAUAAUUUCAAGAGAGAAGCAGAAAAAUACUGAAGUCUAGUUGGGGUCCCCGGGUGCGCCAUACCCGUCACACAACAGUGUUCCCCUGGGGGAUGAAAAUUUAAGUUGGCAGUUAAGUUAAGUUGGAAACAGAAGAUGGCAGUUCGUUCGGGAUAAAUGAUAAUGUUAUCUGUGUAAUAUCGGUGAAUGUUAGCUUGAAGAAAGAGGAUCAAUGGUAGAAGACGAAAACAUGGCUAGAGGUAGUGAGAUCAUCUCAGUGGACACAAGGGUCAAUUGAGCUUCGGAAAUUGAGUGCAACCUUGAAUGCCUAUUAUCAGAGAAAAUGGAUAAUCUAGGCAUGCUAAAAUCUUGAUGAUUCUGGAUACACAACACUGCAAUGUACAAAGUUUAUGUAAAGAUGAGAGUUGCCUAAGAAAUUGUAACUAGCCCCUAACAUUUUAGUAAAAUUUAAAAUAAAAUCUAUUAGUACACUAUUUUCAAAGAAUUUUGCCUUUUGGUUGACCUUUUGAGUUCAUAAUUUGUAAGAAAAUUCACAACAACUUUUAUGUGUCUCAAAUUUACAUUGUCCCUGUAUAAGCAUUUUGCAGAUUUUGAAAUACUUAAAUAAUACUAUAUACUUAAUACUUUUAUUUUCAAGUUGUCUCUGGAACAUAAAGACAAAAUUGGGAAAGUUAAGUUACCUUGUUCUAAAUGAAUUGGUAAUUUUCUUAACACUAUAUUAUAAACACCAUAUUGAAAUAAAAACUUAUUAAUUUUGUUUCCAUGUGA